GUUUUAGGCUAUGUUCACACUUGGCGUCUUUUUUUGACGAGAAAAAGUUGACUAGGGAGCUUUUGUAGUGAAAAAAAAAAAAUCUGCUUUUUGGAACCGAAAC